UACGUAGGUGGCAAGCGUUAUCCGGAAUUAUUGGGCGUAAAGAGCGCGCAGGUGGUUAAUUAAGUCUGAUGUGAAAGCCCACGGCUUAACCGUGGAGGGUCAUUGGAAACUGGUUGACUUGAGUGCAGAAGAGGGAAGUGGAAUUCCAUGUGUAGCGGUGAAAUGCGUAGAUAUUAGGAGGAACACCGGCGGCGAAGGCGGCUUACUGGACUGUAACUGACGUUGAGGCUCGAAAGCGUGGGGAGCAAACAGG
rnacentral:rRNA from 1 species